GACGAACGCUGGCGGCGUGCUUAACACAUGCAAGUCGAACGAAGAGCGAUGGAAGCUUGCUUCUAUCAAUCUUAGUGGCGAACGGGUGAGUAACGCGUAAUCAACCUGCCCUUCAGAGGGGGACAACAGUUGGAAACGACUGCUAAUACCGCAUACGAUCUAAUCUCGGCAUCGAGGAUAGAUGAAAGGUGGCCUCUACAUGUAAGCUAUCACUGAAGGAGGGGAUUGCGUCUGAUUAGCUAGUUGGAGGGGUAACGGCCCACCAAGGCGAUGAUCAGUAGCCGGUCUGAGAGGAUGAACGGCCACAUUGGGACUGAGACACGGCCCAGACUCCUACGGGAGGCAGCAGUGGGGAAUCUUCCGCAAUGGACGAAAGUCUGACGGAGCAACGCCGCGUGAGUGAUGACGGCCUUCGGGUUGUGAAGCUCUGUUAAUCGGGACGAAAGGCCUUCUUGCGAAU
rnacentral:rRNA from 1 species